rnacentral:rRNA from 1 species
GACGAACGCUGGCGGCGUGCUUAACACAUGCCAGUCGAACGGAAAGGCCCUGCUUUUGUGGGGUGCUCGAGUGGCGAACGGGUGAGUAACACGUGAGUAACCUGCCCUUGACUUUGGGAUAACUUCAGGAAACUGGGGCUAAUACCGGAUAGUAGCUCCUGCUGCAUGGUGGGGGUUGGAAAGUUUCGGCGGUUGGGGAUGGACUCGCGGCUUAUCAGCUUGUUGGUGGGGUAGUGGCUUACCAAGGCUUUGACGGUUAGCCGGCCUGAGAGGGUGACCGGCCACAUUGGGACUGAGAUACGGCCCAGACUCCUACGGGAGGCAGCAGUGGGGAAUAUUGCACAAUGGGCGGAAGACUGAUGCAGCAACGCCGCGUGCGGGAUGACGGCCUUCGGGUUGUAAACCGCUUUCGCCUGUGACGAAGCGUGAGUGACGGUAAUGGGUAAAGAAGCACCGGCUAACUACGUG